AGCAGUCGCCACGGGAAUACGAAGGGGGCUAGCGUUGCUCGGAAUCACUGGGCGUAAAGGGUGCGUAGGCGGGUCUUUAAGUCAGGGGUGAAAUCCUGGAGCUCAACUCCAGAACUGCCUUUGAUACUGAAGAUCUUGAGUUAAGGAGAGGUGAGUGGAACUGCGAGUGUAGAGGUGAAAUUCGUAGAUAUUCGCAAGAACACCCGUGGCGAAGGCGGCUCACUGGCCCGAUACUGACGCUGAGGCACGAAAGCGUGGGGAGCAAACAGGAUUAGAUACCCCCGUAGUCCCUGUCUCUUAUAC
rnacentral:rRNA from 1 species